GCUUAAUAUACGUAGCACAACUAAUCCUGAGGCAAAAAGUAGUUUUCCAGGAUAACAACAGAGAAAACAAAGAUGUUAAGCAUGAUAACAUUAUACUUUUAAUGGUUUUGGGGAAUUCUGUCUUUCUCCUGUGAGUUAGUGUAACUUUAUCUUCAUUAAUUUCCAUGACUUCUAUCUUGGUGAAAGAACUAUAGGCCAGAAGAAAACUGAAUAAUCACUUAGAUUAGAUUGUAGAUUGUCCUGGCAGUAGCUGAGAUGAACCUGCAGCAUUUCAUAGUAGUAGAGCACAUUUCCUUUGCUAUGCGAAUGAUUCUGUUUCUUCUGAAGUAAUCCUUUUCCUUUUCUUUUUCUAAUGUGAUGAAGGGCAUGAAAUAGUGUAAUGCAAUCUGAUCAUUUAAUUCAAACAGGAUUAUUCUUCUAUCUAAUCAACACCCAGGAGCACGUAAAUCAGUGUAUACCUGAUCAGAAUUAAUUACGCUUGAAUGGAAGUGCAAGUGCCCUAGUAUUUGUGAAGGAAGCCUGAUAAGCAAUACCAGACAACUGCCUAACCAAAAACAGGUUUUCAGGUUUGUUCUCCCUCGUGGUCCCAGUAUUUUUGAGCUACAACAGAAUUAUUUCUGGAGUGAGUUUUCAGAAGGAAGCAGUGGCAUGUGCCUGGGCCAGGCAGCCUGUUGCUGUUGAACAGCAAUCUUUCGUGCCAGUGGUGCCGAAACUCUGCUUUGAGGUUCGUGCCCUGAACUGCCUUUUCUCUCCCGGAGUUAAACAAAAGUCAGAGCUGAAUUUAGCCUGUGCUGGUGACGUCGCUGAAGGACACCUGUGCAUAGGACACCCAGGUUUGGUCACGAAUCGUGAAGCUACUGAAAGUCAAUGGCAAGCAUUGUCCAAUUCUUCAGAAAUUCUAAACACAAAUCUUUGAUUAAAACAGGAGCGUCAGAAGAAGGACGCCCUGUUAAUCUGUAAUUGUCACUACCU
rnacentral:lncRNA from 1 species